rnacentral:rRNA from 1 species
GCACAAGCGGUGGAGCAUGUGGCUUAAUUCGAUGCAACGCGAAGAACCUUACCUAGGCUUGACAUGCAGGGAAAUCUCAUAGAGAUAUGAGGUCCGCAAGGGCCUUGUACAGGUGGUGCAUGGCUGUCGUCAGCUCGUGUCGUGAGAUGUUGGGUUAAGUCCCGCAACGAGCGCAACCCUUGUUCUGUGUUGCCAGCAUGCCCUUCGGGGUGAUGGGGACUCACAGGAGACCGCCGGGGUCAACUCGGAGGAAGGUGGGGACGACGUCAAGUCAUCAUGCCCCUUAUGUCUUGGGCUGCACACGUGCUACAAUGGCAGGUACAAAGAGCUGCGAAGCCGCGAGGCGGAGCGAAUCUCAAAAAGCCUGUCUCAGUUCGGAUUGGGGUCUGCAACUCGACCCCAUGAAGUCGGAGUUGCUAGUAAUCGCAGAUCAGCAUUGCUGCGGUGAAUACGUUCCCGGGC